UGUUGAUUUCAUCGCACUUCAAAUAUAAGACCUCCCGUGUUCGAUCAGUCCAUUUUUUGCUUAAUCCUUCCAUUCUUUUUGUUUCAGGUGAGCAAAUAAUUGACUCUCCGAUUCCGUUGGCUCACUUUGCAUUGUGUUUUGACACCCGUUACUUGAUUGAACUUUUACUCGCCUCCAAUGUUGAAGUGGACCGUUGGUCAAAAGCAGCAGAAUUUGACGUCAUCGAGUUUUGGUUCCUCCACGAUCCAAUCAGUGAGCUCUGGUCCCUGUUACCCAAUAUGUCGCACCAAUGUCAAAAUUCACGGCACUUCAAAAUCUCGGGCUCGCCGUGUUUCCAUCCGCCAGCUGAACAAAGAAAACAGGCAGUGCCACAAAUCUAUCGUAAGUACAGUCAAAUCAUGAACCUAAUCUUACCGGUACGGGGUCUCAUGUACGAGUAUGAUACAGAAAACUCGAUAGUUGUUAUGGAAACCCCGACAGGCCUGUCUUUUUCUCCCAUGUUUUAAUAUCGCACAAAAAAACUAAGUAGGUAUAACGUUGCCAGACCUGGACUGGACGCUUUACCAUUUCAUGGUCCUGAUAAAAUCCUCGAGUAUCUUUCAUUGAAAUUUUGAAGCGAUUGAAUUCAGAAAGCUGGAAGCUGAGCGGAUUCAACCAAACAAGUCGAAUUUCAUUCCAUUUAAUCUGCCUUUUUUCUCCUAUGUUGUAAUAUCCAGGGUUCCCAGCCAAUUUUGGAAAAAAAAUUCCCUGACUUUUCCAGGUUUUCCAGGCCAAAAUGAAAAUUUUUCCAGGCCUUUUUCCGUGGAAAAAACUCAAAUAAUUUGCCCUAAAGAGACAGCGCGCGCGCGCAUUUUUCGGUUUUUGUAAAAGCUCCUCUAUUUUCAUCAAUUUUUGAUCUGGUUUAGCUUUUUAUUAUAAGAACCAGGCUAGGAUAGUAUCAUAACACGAAUGAAAUCACAAAAAACUUAAAAUGUGUUGGAAAAAAAAAUUGCCACCGAACACUUCCGA
rnacentral:lncRNA from 1 species